rnacentral:tRNA from 1 species
UCCCUGGUAGCUUAGUUGGUAAAGAAUCUGCCUGCGCUGCAGGAGACUCCAGGUUCAAUACCUGGGUCGGGAA